AAACCUCUGCAUAAGACUUGCGGUAAAAGCAAAGAGUAAUGUUUUAGGCAUCUAAGAUUGCAAUACUAACUUUUGGUUUAUUACAUCUCAGACUGAUGAUUCACAUCAUCAUGAUAACUGUCCUGCAGAACCAAGUUAAGGAACACAAUUUAGUGCUUUCAUCAACAGUUGAAUGAUAGGUUGUUAAUAAUCAGUGUGCUCAUUCUGAUUAUUUGGGAAGCAACUGAUCUGUAAGUUGCCCUUUCUCUCUGUUUCCUGGAAGGUCCUGGAGAUGCAAUAAAGGCAGCUUUGCUCCUAGGAUCCUGGCAUAGCCUUGCACGCUGCCAUCUCCAUCUGAGGGCACAAAACACUGCCUGCUUCUAGCCCCACAAAGAACUGACCUCAAGCUGCAGAUAUGUGCUUAGUGAUACAAAGACUUAUACAAAUGUAAAAAAUUGUAAAGCAAGAUCAGCAGGAAAAACAACAACUGCUGUCAGAAACCUGAUUUAUUCUCUGCAAGAUAAACAAAUGCAGCAUUUAUGGAUGUGAAGUUGAAGAUCGUGUCCUGUAGGCAGGUACAAUACCACCUCUGGCAACAUCCAAAUAGUCUGAAAGAAUCAAGCAUCGAAUUUCUUUCAGCAACCUGUAUACAAAAUGACAGAAAACUGAAGACUGCCGUGAAUGGGCCAUACUGCAUGGGAUAAAGCUUGCUGUAAGUGGGAAUCCUCAUAUGAAAACUUUUGCGCGGAAGUGGACCCAAUGUAUCAUUCAUGCAAUGCACAUAAUUUUUAGAGAGGCUCAAAUUCCAAAAACUGAAAUACUUGGAUUCUCCACAGCUCAAGCCUACU
rnacentral:lncRNA from 1 species